UACGGAGGAUCCGAGCGUUAUCCGGAUUUAUUGGGUUUAAAGGGUGCGCAGGCGGGGGAUUAAGUCGGCGGUGAAAUUUUGCAGCUCAACUGUAAAAGUGCCUUCGAAACUGGUUUCCUUGAGUGUAGAUGAAGUAGGCGGAAUUUGUGGUGUAGCGGUGAAAUGCAUAGAUAUCACGAGGAACUCCGAUUGCGCAGGCAGCUUACUAAACUACUACUGACGCUCAUGCACGAAGGCGUGGGGAUCAAACAGGAUUAGAUACCCGCGUA
rnacentral:rRNA from 1 species